GUACCAGCAGUCGCAGUAAUACGUAGGUGGCGAGCGUUGUCCGGAAUUACUGGGUGUAAAGGGCGUGUAGGCGUGGAUGCAAGUCAGAUGUGAAAUUCCGAGGCUCAACCUCGGCGCUGCAUCUGAAACUGUGUCUCUUGAGUGUCGGAGAGGAAAGCGGAAUUCCCAGUGUAGCGGUGAAAUGCGUAGAUAUUGGGAGGAACACCGGUGGCGAAGGCGGCUUUCUGGACGACAACUGACGCUGAGGCGCGAAAGCGUGGGGAGCAAACAGGAUUAGAUACCCUGGUAGUCCACGCCGUAAACGAUGGAUACUAGGUGUAGGAGGUAUCGACCCCUUCUGUGCCGGAGUUAACACAAUAAGUAUCCCACCUGGGGAGUACGGCCGCAAGGUUGAAACUCAAAUGAAUUGGCGG
rnacentral:rRNA from 1 species